rnacentral:rRNA from 1 species
GAUGAACGCUGGCGGCGUGCCUAAUACAUGCAAGUCGAGCGAACAGACGAGGAGCUUGCUCCUCUGACGUUAGCGGCGGACGGGUGAGUAACACGUGGAUAACCUACCUAUAAGACUGGGAUAACUUCGGGAAACCGGAGCUAAUACCGGAUAAUAUAUUGAACCGCAUGGUUCAAUAGUGAAAGACGGUUUUGCUGUCACUUAUAGAUGGAUCCGCGCCGCAUUAGCUAGUUGGUAAGGUAACGGCUUACCAAGGCAACGAUGCGUAGCCGACCUGAGAGGGUGAUCGGCCGCACUGGAACUGGGACACGGUCCAGGCUCCUACGGGAGGCAGCAGUAGGGAAGCUUCCGCAAGGGGCGAAAGCCUGACGGAGCAACGCCGCGUGAGUGAUGAAGGUCUUCGGAUCGUAAAACUCUGUUAUGAGGGAAGAACAAAUGUGUAAGUAACUAUGCACGUCUUGACGGUACCUAAUCAGAAAGCCACGGCUAACUACGUG